rnacentral:lncRNA from 1 species
CCUUUGUCUGGUUACACUGGUGGUGUAGGAACAGCCAGUGGAUGGAUGCUUAGGGUCCAGGGUGCAGGUUGUGAGCCAAAAGAAGUCCCGAGUAAGUGUGCAGUAUUCAUUGUAGACAUCACAGAAGUAGUCAGUAUAGUUGCAGAAUUUCUGGAUGUCUUUCCAGGGGGCAUGUAGCACAUAAUGGACCUUUGGGCAAAACCAGUUUUGCCUUCUGCCCCUCACAUAGGCCAUAAAGCCAUUGCAGUAGCCCUGGAAACCCUCUGCGAAGGUAACCUUGGGAUAGUCGAUGUGUAAGUUAUGGAAGUUUUGAGCUUCAGGAUGCACCUUGAUGUUCACCACCGGAGCUGGCCCUAGAACAAGCUGAAGGAAAAGGAGCUGGGCCACAGCUGGUGCCAUUCCUCCUGCUGGCAGAGUUAAGGUGGUUGGAGUUAGGGUGGACCUAGGGUGGCUGUACGCCCCUCCUAGAGCCUCCAGCACUGUUCAACCUUCCCCAUGUGCCUUCCUUACUCUCUAAGAGCUGGCUGGUCACUCAGACCUCAUCCUUCAAAUCCUUAUACCCCAGAGAGAGAAGGUACUUGCCCAAAGCCACCCAAAUUGAUCAGCCACCCACAGCCAUCCCCAUCCCCUGGUCCACUGCAGGGUUUUAAUCUCACCCAAUCUGUAAACUGCAGCACUUGCGGAAUAAGAAAUCCAGCUGGUCCUCAGAGAAGAGAGGUUCCACCACUCACAGGAGCUCAGGAGGCUGUGUGUGCAUGGGGGCCUCCCAUCAAAGUGCCAGGCUGAGGCCAGGCAUGGUGACACACACCUGUGAUCCCAGCACUAACGAGCCAAAGGCAGAAAGAUUGCUCAGAGUUCGAGGACAGUGUGGGCUACAUAAUGAGUUCAAAGCCUGCC